ACAAUUUCGCCUACAUUUCCCUCCUUCCAAACAAACUCGUCCGCGUCUCCCUCUCACAUUCUCACCCCAGACUAUUGAUUCCGCUUCUACCUUUAAUACUCACAGCUUCUGCAUCCACCUUCUAAACAAAAUCGCCCACGUCUCCCUCUUACAUUCUCACCGUUGCUGUUGGUGAAAUCACAGUUGCUGGGAUUUUCACCGUGCUAUUCAAGCUAUAAAUACAUUCCGUGAUGACGUCCCUACUCGACGCUAACAUCUAACUCCAGCGGUGGCGGCGAAAGCUUCACUGCAACGGGAAGAGAAACAAGAAGAAGAGCCAGAAAUUACUCAUAGGGUUUUGUUGGAUGUUGAUAUUGAAGAACAGAGAUUAGAUUUUUUCUCUGUUAAAGUGUGAAGCGGUUUUUGGGGAAGUUUCUGUUUGGCUGUCAAGGAAGAAAAAUCACAAGAUUUUUCUUUGUGGUUUUCGUGUUGGUAGACAAAAGAAGUUAAAUGUAAGUUGUGUAAUGUUCAUGUUUGUUAUAAAGUUUUUUUAGUGU